AAUGAAUUUAAAACUUGAAAGUACCAAGCGAAAAUUCCUAGUUUGGGCCUGGUAUAUAUAGUAUCAGCGAUUCAGUGGGCAAACCAUAGUAUCCUUGAAAAAGAUCCAUUAUUGUGUAGUCCCGCUGGACUCUUCUCUGUAUGGUCCUUAUCAAGCUCUUUCCUCUUCUAAUCCAUAGCUCCAAGCCUCAUUCACAGAGAGGCUUUGUUGAGGCCCAUGCUGAAGAUGGUUUACUAGAAAUAUUUGGCCUAAAGCAAGGGUGACAUGCAUCUUUUGUUAUGUUUAAACUCAUCUCUGCCAAACACAUUGCUCAGGUGCAGUAUCAAACUUGAAAGUCUUAUAUUGUUUAUGCUAUCGUGUAAAGUUCUAACUGCUCAAGUGCUAAUAUGCAGCCUUGUGUAAACUUGAAAUUCUUAUUCAAAGUUUGUGGAAAUUAAGCGGGUCCCUUUUCAGUCAGCUAUGAUCAGUGGAGAGUGAUAUUGGUGCCUUUGUUCCAUUUAGCAAACGUUGCAGCAUGAAUAUUUUGCAGCAGAAGAUGCAGAUGAAUAGCAACUUGGAUAACUUAAUUGGAGUGGUUCCUUUAUGUCAUUGUGAUGCAGAUGAUAAUUAUAGCUUGUAACAAACAUUGUUUUUAAGGAUGAGAUUUGAAUAAUAAGAGCCUGUUUGGGUAAGCAAUUUUCACAACUCAAUUCUCAGUUUUCAUAACUCAUAACUCAAAAAUGGUGGGACCCAUAGCAAAAAGGUUGU